rnacentral:rRNA from 1 species
GUGGGGAAUAUUGGGCAAUGGGGGAAACCCUGACCCAGCAACGCCGCGUGAAGGAAGAAGGUUUUCGGAUCGUAAACUUCUAUCCUUGGUGAAGAUAAUGACGGUAGCCAAGAAGGAAGCCCCGGCUAACUACGUGCCAGCAGCCGCGGUAAUACGUAGGGGGCAAGCGUUGUCCGGAAUGAUUGGGCGUAAAGGGCGCGUAGGCGGCCUGGUAAGUCUGGAGUGAAAGUCCUGCUUUUAAGGUGGGAAUUGCUUUGGAUACUGUCGGGCUUGAGUGCAGGAGAGGUAAGCGGAAUUCCCGGUGUAGCGGUGAAAUGCUUAGAGAUCGGGAGGAACACCAGGGGCGAAGGCGGCUUACUGGACUGUAACUGACGCUGAGGCGCGAAAGUGUGGGGAGCAAACAGGAUUAGAAACCCUAGUAGUCC